GACGAACGCUGGCGUGCGUGCUUAACACAUGCAAGUCGAACGGAAAGGCCCUGCUUUUGUGGGGUGCUCGAGUGGCGAACGGGUGAGUAACACGUGAGUAACCUGCCCUUGACUUUGGGAUAACUUCAGGAAACUGGGGCUAAUACCGGAUAGGAGCUCCUGCUGCAUGGUGGGGGUUGGAAAGUUUCGGCGGUUGGGGAUGGACUCGCGGCUUAUCAGCUUGUUGGUGGGGUAGUGGCUUACCAAGGCUUUGACGGGUAGCCGGCCUGAGAGGGUGACCGGCCACAUUGGGACUGAGAUACGGCCCAGACUCCUACGGGAGGCAGCAGUGGGGAAUAUUGCACAAUGGGCGGAAGCCUGAUGCAGCAACGCCGCGUGCGGGAUGACGGCCUUCGGGUUGUAAACCGCUUUCGCCUGUGACGAAGCGUGAGUGACGGUAAUGGGUAAAGAAGCACCGGCUAACUACGUGCCAGCAGCCGCGGUGAUACGUAGGGUGCGAGCGUUGUCCGGAUUUAUUGGGCGUAAAGGGCUCGUAGGUGGUUGAUCGCGUCGGAAGUGUAAUCUUGGGGCUUAACCCUGAGCGUGCUUUCGAUACGGGUUGACUUGAGGAAGGUAGGGGAGAAUGGAAUUCCUGGUGGAGCGGUGGAAUGCGCAGAUAUCAGGAGGAACACCAGUGGCGAAGGCGGUUCUCUGGGCCUUUCCUGACGCUGAGGAGCGAAAGCGUGGGGAGCGAACAGGCUUAGAUACCCUGGUAGUCCACGCUGUAAACGGUGGGUACUAGGUGUGGGGUCCAUUCCACGGGUUCCGUGCCGUAGCUAACGCUUUAAGUACCCCGCCUGGGGAGUACGGCCGCAAGGCUAAAACUCAAAGGAAUUGACGGGGCCCCGCACAAGCGGCGGAGCAUGCGGAUUAAUUCGAUGCAACGCGUAGAACCUUACCUGGGUUUGACAUGGAUCGGGAGUGCUCAGAGAUGGGUGUGCCUCUUUUGGGGUCGGUUCACAGGUGGUGCAUGCCUGUCGUCAGCUCGUGUCGUGAGAUGUUGGGUUAAGUCCCGCAACGAGCGCAACCCUUGUUCACUGUUGCCAGCACGUUAUGGUGGGGACUCAGUGGAGACCGCCGGGGUCAACUCGGAGGAAGGUGGGGAUGACGUCAAGUCAUCAUGCCCCUUAUGUCCAGGGCUUCACGCAUGCUACAAUGGCUGGUACAGAGAGUGGCGAGCCUGUGAGGGUGAGCGAAUCUCGGAAAGCCGGUCUCAGUUCGGAUUGGGGUCUGCAACUCGACCUCAUGAAGUCGGAGUCGCUAGUAAUCGCAGAUCAGCAACGCUGCGGUGAAUACGUUCCCGGGGCU
rnacentral:rRNA from 1 species